rnacentral:rRNA from 1 species
AGAGUUUGAUCAUGGCUCAGAUUGAACGCUGGCGGCAGGCCUAACACAUGCAAGUCGAGCGGAUGAAGGGAGCUUGCUCCUGGAUUCAGCGGCGGACGGGUGAGUAAUGCCUAGGAAUCUGCCUGGUAGUGGGGGAUAACGUCCGGAAACGGGCGCUAAUACCGCAUACGUCCUGAGGGAGAAAGUGGGGGAUCUUCGGACCUCACGCUAUCAGAUGAGCCUAGGUCGGAUUAGCUAGUUGGUGGGGUAAAGGCCUACCAAGGCGACGAUCCGUAACUGGUCUGAGAGGAUGAUCAGUCACACUGGAACUGAGACACGGUCCAGACUCCUACGGGAGGCAGCAGUGGGGAAUAUUGGACAAUGGGCGAAAGCCUGAUCCAGCCAUGCCGCGUGUGUGAAGAAGGUCUUCGGGUUGUAAAGCACUUUAAGUUGGGAGGAAGGGCAGUAAGUUAAUACCUUGCUGUUUUGACGUUACCAACAGAAUAAGCACCGGCUAACUUCGUGCCAGCAGCCGCGGUAAUACGAAGGGUGCAAGCGUUAAUCGGAAUUACUGGGCGUAAAGCGCGCGUAGGUGGUUCAGCAAGUUGGAUGUGAAAUCCCCGGGCUCAACCUGGGAACUGCAUCCAAAACUACUGAGCUAGAGUACGGUAGAGGGUGGUGGAAUUUCCUGUGUAGCGGUGAAAUGCGUAGAUAUAGGAAGGAACACCAGUGGCGAAGGCGACCACCUGGACUGAUACUGACACUGUGGUGCGAAAGCGUGGGGAGCAAACAGGAUUAGAUACCCUGGUAGUCCACGCCGUAAACGAUGUCGACUAGCCGUUGGGACCCUUGAGAUCUUAGUGGCGCAGCUAACGCGAUAAGUCGACCGCCUGGGGAGUACGGCCGCAAGGUUAAAACUCAAAUGAAUUGACGGGGGCCCGCACAAGCGGUGGAGCAUGUGGUUUAAUUCGAAGCAACGCGAAGAACCUUACCUGGCCUUGACAUGCUGAGAACUUUCCAGAGAUGGAUUGGUGCCUUCGGGAACUCAGACACAGGUGCUGCAUGGCUGUCGUCAGCUCGUGUCGUGAGAUGUUGGGUUAAGUCCCGUAACGAGCGCAACCCUUGUCCUUAGUUACCAGCACCUCGGGUGGGCACUCUAAGGAGACUGCCGGUGACAAACCGGAGGAAGGUGGGGGUGACGUCAAGUCAUCAUGGCCCUUACGGCCAGGGCUACACACGCGCUACAAUGGUCGGUACAAAGGGUUGCCAAGCCGCGAGGUGGAGCUAAUCCCAUAAAACCGAUCGUAGUCCGGAUCGCAGUCUGCAACUCGACUGCGUGAAGUCGGAAUCGCUAGUAAUCGUGAAUCAGAAUGUCACGGUGAAUACGUUCCCGGGCCUUGUACACACCGCCCGUCACACCAUGGGAGUGGGUUGCUCCAGAAGUAGCUAGUCUAACCGCAAGGGGGACGGUUACCACGGAGUGAUUCAUGACUGGGGUGAAGUCGUAACAAGGUAGCCGUAGGGGAACCUGCGGCUG